rnacentral:rRNA from 1 species
GACGAACGCUGGCGGCGUGCUUAACACAUGCAAGUCGAACGGAAAGGCCCUGCUUUUGUGGGGUGCUCGAGUGGCGAACGGGUGAGUAACACGUGAGUAACCUGCCUUGACUUUGGGAUAACUUUAGGAAACUGGGGCUAAUACCGGAUAGGAGCUCCUGCUGCCUGGUGGGGGUUGGAAAGUUUCGGCGGUUGGGGAUGGACUCGCGGCUUAUCAGCUUGUUGGUGGGGUAGUGGCUUACCAAGGCUUUGACGGGUAGCCGGCCUGAGAGGGUGACCGGCCACAUUGGGACUGAGAUACGGCCCAGACUCCUACGGGAGGCAGCAGUGGGGAAUAUUGCACAAUGGGCGGAAGCCUGAUGCAGCAACGCCGCGUGCGGGAUGACGGCCUUCGGGUUGUAAACCGCUUUCGCCUGUGACGAAGCGUGAGUGACGGUAAUGGGUAAAGAAGCACCGGCUAACUACGUG